rnacentral:lncRNA from 12 species
AUAAAAAACAACACACUGAAGUAAUGUGUCUGAAGUCACGUGGCAGGUCAAUGAUUGCUUUUAAAUCAGUUGUAACUCCACCGGGACAACCAAAUAUUAUUUAUGCGCUGUAUGCAUUUCAGUGCCCAUCUCCACAUUAUCCAGGCGCCACCACAAGAUGAAGAAG